UCCUACGGGAGGCAGCAGUGGGGAAUAUUGGACAAUGGGGGCAACCCUGAUCCAGCCAUGCCGCGUGUGUGAAGAAGGCCCUCGGGUUGUAAAGCACUUUCAGCGAGGAAGAACGCCUAGCGGUUAAUACCCGCUAGGAAAGACAUCACUCGCAGAAGAAGCACCGGCUAACUCCGUGCCAGCAGCCGCGGUAAUACGGAGGGUGCAAGCGUUAAUCGGAAUUACUGGGCGUAAAGCGCGCGUAGGUGGCUUGAUAAGCCGGUUGUGAAAGCCCCGGGCUCAACCUGGGAACGGCAUCCGGAACUGUCAAGCUAGAGUGCAGGAGAGGAAGGUAGAAUUCCCGGUGUAGCGGUGAAAUGCGUAGAGAUCGGGAGGAAUACCAGUGGCGAAGGCGGCCUUCUGGACUGACACUGACACUGAGGUGCGAAAGCGUGGGUAGCAAACAGGAUUAGAUACCCUGGUAGUCCACGCCGUAAACGAUGUCGACCAGCCGUUGGGUGCCUAGCGCACUUUGUGGCGAAGUUAACGCGAUAAGUCGACCGCCUGGGGAGUACGGCCGCAAGGUUAAAACUCAAAUGAAUUGACGGGGGGCCCGCACAAGCGGUGGAGCAUGUGGUUUAAUUCUAUGCAACGCGAAGAACCUUACCUACUCUUGACAUCCUGCGAAUUUGGGUAGAGAUACCAUAGUGCCUUCGGGAACGCAGAGACAGUGCUGCAUGGCUGUCGUCAGCUCGUGUUGUGAAAUGUUGGGUUAAGUCCCGUAACGAGCGCAACCCUGUCCUAUUUGCCAGCGCGUAAUGCCGGGACUCUAAGAGACUGCGGUGACAAAACAGGAGGAAGUGGGGACGA
rnacentral:rRNA from 1 species